GAUGAACGCUAGCGGCAGGCCUAAUACAUGCAAGUCGAGGGGCAGCAGGAAUAACAAUAUUUGCUGGCGACCGGCGCACGGGUGCGUAACACGUAUACAAUCUGCCUUCUACAGGGGGAUAGCCUUUCGAAAAAGAGAUUAAUACCCCAUAAUAAAUUGAAUAGCAUUAUUUGAUUUUGAAAGAUCCGUCGGUAGAAGAUGAGUAUGCGGGUGAUUAGCUAGUUGGUGAGGUAACGGCUCACCAAGGCAACGAUCACUAGGGGAUCUGAGAGGACUACCCCCACACUGGUCCUGAGCCACGGACCAGACUCCUACGGGAGGCCGCGUUCAGGAAUAUUGGACAAUGGAGGCAACUCUUCUCCAGCCAUGCCGCGUGCAGGAUGAAUGCCCUCUGGGUCUUUCCCUGCUUUUGUACGAGAGAAACCCUCUUUACGUGUAGAUAGUUGAUAGUAUCGUAAGAAUCAGGAUCGGCUAACUUCGUGCCAGCAGCCGCCGUAACAC
rnacentral:rRNA from 1 species